rfam:Triticum aestivum genome assembly, contig: Triticum_aestivum_CS42_TGACv1_scaffold_222925_3B
CCGCCUCUCGGAGCAAGCAGUCCCUUGCACCUUAACUAUCUUCUUCACUUUUUCUACUAAAACCUUCUGCUUUUAGCUGAUCAUUAACGGGUGGAAUAUUA